GGGGAAGCAGGGUUAGAGAAUACACAGUCAUGCCGUUGUGAAUGCCCUGCACUGACCCAGUUGCUUAGGUCAGAGGACAAUGGUUUGUAAAUGUCUAAGCACAAGGAGAAAUACAAUCAUUCACUCUCUCCAAAUUGGCGGGAACUUGGGUUGUGACCAAGCGGAUGAUGAUGUGAGGAAAACGAUGGAAUUAUUUAAGGAGUUGGGUGCCAACAAUCCGUGGUUCACAUAUCGAGUUCAAGCAGAUUUGGAGGGCCGAAUAAAAUGUUUGAUGUGGAUGAAUGGUAGCAGCCAUUUGCGACUACAGGCGUCUGCGUGGUUUACAGGCGAGAUGAACCCUAGAGCUCUUGGCUGGACACAACAGUAUGUGCAUUCAGUGCUACAAAUUCCGAAAAAAGGUAACGAUUGGUGUGGCUGCGUAAAGGAGGACACCUUGUCCUAAUCGCCCAAGUUCGUUGGAGAAAGCAAUUCGUGGGUUCGCUGAGAAUCCAGGGGAAAAUGUGAUUGUACUGAAACUGGGUAUAAGAUUUGAUCUUUAGGUGAAGCAUACAACUUGUACUCCUGCGGGAAGGGGUUUGGUAUUACAUAUUGGAAAAGCAGACUAAAUGUUUAGAGGACAAAAUGCAGGCAGGAAAUCAUUUGCAGCUGUGCGGGAAGGCUGGCGUUGAGAACAGUCGGUCAUGCCAUUGUGAGUGUUGGGCUCUUAUACGAUUGUUGCGAUCGAAAGGCAAUGGUUGGUGCAUAUCAGAGCAUCGGGAGCAACACAUCCAAUCUUUGUCUCCUAAUUGCGGAGAGACAAUACACUGCCUUCACAGAAACACAUCGACGUUUACAACCGAGACUGGUGAAGCAGCUACGGCAAAAUAACGUCAAUCUAGCCAAGGUAUACAACAUCAUA